UACGAAGGGUGCAAGCGUUAAUCGGAAUUACUGGGCGUAAAGCGUGCGUAGGCGGUUGUUUAAGUCUGCUGUGAAAUCCCCGGGCUCAACCUGGGAAUGGCAGUGGAUACUGGACGGCUAGAGUGUGUCAGAGGGUGGUGGAAUUCCCGGUGUAGCGGUGAAAUGCGUAGAGAUCGGGAGGAACAUCAGUGGCGAAGGCGGCCACCUGGGACAACACUGGACGCUGAGGCACGAAAGCGUGGGGGAGCAAACAGG
rnacentral:rRNA from 1 species